rnacentral:rRNA from 1 species
GAUGAACGCUGGCGGCGUGCCUAAUACAUGCAAGUCGAGCGAACAGACGAGGAGCUUGCUCCUUUGACGUUAGCGGCGGACGGGUGAGUAACACGUGGGUAACCUACCUAUAAGACUGGGAUAACUUCGGGAAACCGGAGCUAAUACCGGAUAAUAUUUCGAACCGCAUGGUUCGAUAGUGAAAGAUGGCUUUGCUAUCACUUAUAGAUGGACCUGCGCCGUAUUAGCUAGUUGGUAAGGUAACGGCUUACCAAGGCAACGAUACGUAGCCGACCUGAGAGGGUGAUCGGCCACACUGGAACUGAGACACGGUCCAGACUCCUACGGGAGGCAGCAGUAGGGAAUCUUCCGCAAUGGGCGAAAGCCUGACGGAGCAACGCCGCGUGAGUGAUGAAGGUCUUCGGAUCGUAAAACUCUGUUAUUAGGGAAGAACAAACGUGUAAGUAACUGUGCACGUCUUGACGGUACCUGAUCAGAAAGCCACGGCUAACUACGUG